CAGGAGAGGCAAGGGAGUGGCCAGCCAAAGGUCCAUCCAGCACUCAAGGACCCCACCAAGGGCUGGUCACCUGCCCAGGGACUCAGAACACAUGAGUCACCCUACGUGAGCUCAGGAUCCUGGCAAUACACAGGCACGCUGAGCCCUGAUGUUCCUAAUCCCUCUCCAGCACCCUCCAGCCUUGCAGAAGCAGCCACCAUGCCAGUGUCUAAGUGCCUGAAAAGGUCGGAGCCCCUGUGGAAGGGGUGGGACCGGAAGGCCCAGAAGAACGGCCUGCGGUACCAGGUGUACGCUGUGAACGGCGACUACUAUGCGGGCGAGUGGAAGGACAACUUGAAACACGGGAAAGGAACACAGGUCUGGAAGAAGAACGGAGCCAUCUAUGAAGGGGACUGGAAGUUUGGGAAGCGAGACGGCUAUGGCACCCUCAGCCUUCCUGAUCAACAGACAGGAAAGUACAGGAGAGUCUACUCAGGCUGGUGGAAAGGUGAUAAGAAAUCGGGUUAUGGGAUCCAGUUUUUCGGACCCAAGGAGUAUUAUGAGGGUGAGUGGUGUGGCAGCCAGCGCAGCGGGUGGGGCCGCAUCUACUACAGCAACGGCGACAUCUACGAGGGACAGUGGGAGAAGGACAAGCCACACGGGGAGGGCAUGCUGCGCCUAAAGAACGGGAACCGCUACGAGGGCUGCUGGGAGAGGGGCAUGAAGAACGGACCGGGGCGUUUCUUCCAUCUGGACCACGGACAGCUGUUUGAAGGCUUCUGGGUGGACAAUAUGGCCAAGUGCGGGACAAUGAUCGACUUUGGGCGUGAUGAGGCCCCUGAGCCUACUCAGUUCCCCAUUCCUGAGGUCAAAAUCCUAGACCCUGAUGGUGUGCUGGCAGAAGCCUUGGCCAUGUUCAGGAAGACAGAGGAAGAAGGAGAUUGAUGCUGGGUGAAGGGUGGGCACGCCUGCCAUGCUCUUCCGUGGCUGAGGCUGCUCCAGGGCCGGGAUCAAUGCACACAUCUCCUGGGGUCUCCAAAGGGCUCGGGAUGGGGGCGCGGGGGAGCAAGACCAGAGAGGGCAGUCUUCUUGCCUUCUAUGUUCCAGUGUGGUUUUUGGCUCUUCCUCUUCAAACCCCCUUUUGGCCAGGUGUGGUGGCUCACGCCUGUAAUCCCAACACUUUGGGAGGCCAAGGCAGGUGGAUCACUUGAGGUCAGGAAUUCGAGACCAUCCUGGCAAACAUGGUGAAACCCCAUUUCUACUGGUAGCAGGCGCCUGUAAUCCCAGCUGCUUGGGAGGCUGAGGCAGGAGAAUUGUUUGAACCCAGGAGGCAGAGAUUGCAGUGAGCCGAGAUCGUGGCAUUGCACUCUAGCCUGGGCGAGAGAGUGAGAGUCCGUCUCAAAAACAACAAAACUCAAAACUGAUUUCACUGAAGACCAGUGCAUUCCAGAGAACACCGACGCUUCAGGAGAAAUUCAAGUCCGUGUCACCCAGUCAUUCAGAUCAGUGCAGCUCUGGCUGGAAGAGUCAGCAGUGGCUCUGCACAAACCUGGCACCCUCAGAGGGCCCCUCACUCCCCCAAGCACUGGGUAGUUUCUUGCCAAUAGGAAGGCCAGUGCUUCUCUCCCAGGCUGGCCUUGGGACCCUCUUGCGGCCUUCGUUUUCUGAUCUCAUCCUGCAGUGCAUGAGAAUAAAGAGCCAGGUGGUGUAAGCCCGGGCCUGUGGUGUGAGGGUGGGCAUGCAAGGGGGCACAGGAGGGGUUUCAGGUGGGGAAAGACAUCCCCUGGCUGGGCUGCCUGGGCUUAGCUUGGGGAGGAGGUCUUAGGCCGGGUGCACUGGCUCAUUCCUGCAACCCCAGCACUUUGGGAGGCCAAGGCAGGAGGGAUCACUUGAGGCUGGGAAUUCAAGACAAGCCUAAGCAACAUAGCAAGAUCCUGACUCUACAGAAAAGAAUUUUUUUUUUUUUUGAGAUGGAAUCUCGCUCUGUCAUCAGGCUGGAGUGUAGUGGCGUGAUCUUGGCUCACAGCAACGUCUGCCUCCCGGGUUCAAGCGAAUCUCCUGCCUCAGUCUCCCGAAUAGCUAAGACUACAGGUGCACGCCACCACAUCCAGCUGAUUUUUGUAUUUUUAGUAGAGACAAGGUUUCACCAUGUUGGCCAGGAUGAUCUUGAUCUCUUGACCUUAUGAUCCGCCUGCCUCGGUCUCUCAAAUGGUGGGAUUACAGGCAUGAGCCACUGCAUCUGGCAAACAAAAAAAUUUUAAAAAUAUAAAAGAAAGGAAAAGAAAGGGCUGGGUGUGGUGGCUCAUGUUUGUAAUCCCAGCCCUGUGGGAGGUUGAGGUGAGCAGAUCACAAGGUCAAGAGAUCGAGAUCCUGGCCAACGUGGUGAAACCCCAUCUCUACUGAAAAUACAAAAAUUAGCUGGGUGUGGUGGCACGGGCCUGUAAUCCCAGCUACUUGGGAGGCUGAGGCAGGAGAAUCACUUGAACCAGGGAUGCAGAGGUUGCUGUGAGCUGACAUCUUGUCACUGCACUCCAGCCUGGUGAUAGAGCAAUGAGACUCCAUCUAAAGAAAAAAAAGAAAAGAAAAAGCAAAAGAAAUGGCAGGUGCCCUGUGAUAUAACCCAAAGAAAACCUGCAUCCUGCCACCGAGAUUACAGAUUAAAAUUUCCUGACCACCUCUCAACCUAACACAGGGCUCUCAACCUUGAAAUCCCAUGGAAACUUUACAAAGCUAGGGAAGCCCAGGUCCCAUGCCCAAAGAUUCACAUCUAAUUCAUCUGGGGUGAGGCCUGAGCUUCCAGAAAGUUCCCUAGGGAAUUUUUUUUUUUUUUUUUUUGAGACCAAAUCUGGCUCUGUCGCCCAGGCUGGAGUGCAGUGGCUCAAUCAAGGCUCACUGUAACCUUUACCUCCCAGAUUCAAGUGAUUCUCCUGCCUCAGCCUCCUCAGUAGCUGGAUUACAGGGGUGCACCACCACACCCGGAUAAUUUUUGUAUCUUUAGCAGAGAUGGGGUUUCACCAGAUUGGUCAGGCUGGUCUCCAACUCCAGACCUUGUGAUCUGCCUGCCUCAGCCUUCCAAAAAGUGCUGGGAUUACAGACGUGAGACACUGCGCCCGGCCUGAUUUAUUUAUUUAUAGACAGAGUCUCGCUGUGUCUCCCAGGCUGGAGUGCAAUGGCGCGAUCUCGGCUCACUGCAACCUCCGCCUCCUGGGUUCAAAGGAUUCUCCUGCCUCACCCUCCCAAGUAGCUGGGACUACAGGCACCUGCCACCACGCCCGGCUAAUUUUUUGUAUUUUUAGUAGAGAUGGGGUUUCACUGUGUUAGCCAGGAUGGUCUCGAUCUCCUGAUCCCAUGAUCCGCCUGCCUUGGCCUCCCACAAUACUGGGAUUACAUGAGCCACCACAUCUGGCUAUUAUUUAUUUUUUUGAGACAGAGUCUCACUGUCACCCAGGCUGGAGUGCAGUGGCAUGAUCUUGGUUCACUGCAACCUCCGUCUCCUGAGUUCAAGCGAUUCUCCUGCCUCAGCCUCCUGAGCAGCUGGGAUUACAGACACCUACCACCAUGCCUGGCUAAUUUUUUGUAUUUUUAGUAAAGAUGGGGUUUCACCGUGUUGGCCAGGCUGGUCUCAAACUCCUGACCUCAGGUGAUCCACCUACUUCUGCCUCCCAAAGUGCUGGGGUUAUAGGCAUGAGCCAUCAUUCCCCACCCCCAGGUGAUUUUAAUGUGGAGCUGGCUCUGGGAAUGCCUGAUUUACUGUCUGUGUGGCCUUGAGCAAGUGACCUCCGUUGCCCCAUCUGUAGAAUGGGACUCAGGAGAGCUCACAGGAGUCUUCGGAGGCUUUGCUAACAGAUGUCAUCAUGAAUAUCACGUAUGGGGGUUAACUGUGGAUCGGAUACCAGGGAAGAGCAGGACAGCAUUCCUGAAGGAUCAGAUGUUCUCCUGCACAAUGGGCAGGUGAGCUCUGGAUUCAUACUGCCUGGGUGUGAAUCUCGGAACUGUGUGUUCCUGGGAACGUCACCCAAACUCUGUUCUCUAGGUCUCCUCACUAGCAAUAUGGGGCAUUCACAGUACUGGCCACCUGGGGUUACUGUGGUUAGUUACUGUGAGGGUGAGAUAAGGUCGUGGUUUUAAAUGGGGGGUAUGGUUUUGUCCUCCCUGACCCCCACUCUUCCUUGGGGACAUUUGGCAAUGUCUGACAUUUUUGGCGUCACAACUGGCAGGAAGAAGGCUAUGGCUUUGAGUGAGUAAAGGCCAGGGCUGCUUUUAAAUGUGGUGCAAUGUCACCAUGCUACCAAAAAAAAAAGCCAUUCAGCACUUGUAAUGCCCGCUACUCAGGAGGCUGAGGCAGGAGAAUCACUUGAACCAGCCUCAAAGGUUGCAGUGAGCCGAGAUUGUGCCACUGCACUCCAACCUGGACAACAGAGCAAGACACCAUCUGAAAAAAUAAAGUUGGAGUUGAGAGACCCUGAAAUACCAUGAUUCCAGCUAAGACCUCAGCAAGAAGCACACAGCACAUAGUAAAGCCUCAGUAAACAGCACUGACCUCACUGAGGUUCUCUCUGACCCCUAUGUCAUAAGUGGGGUGGCUUCACUCAGGGUGUGGUUCUCAGUCUGUACUUUUGACACCGGAAAGCCCCAUCUGGACACCCUAGGAUGAAGAAUCAAUUGUAACUUCCAGAUAUGGAGGGCUCACUCUAUUCCAGGCCCUGUGCUCACAGCUUCUCAGCAAGCUUUCUUUCCUGGGACUCCUCAACAACAGUGAGGUGUCUUGCUAUUUAUUAGUGCCAUUUUAGAGGAGGACACUGAGGUUCAGGGAGGAUCACAAGUCAUCAAGCUAGUACUGUGCUUAAAUUUAGAUCUAGAUGCUUUUUUUUUUGAUGGAGUUUCACUCUUGUUACCCAGGCUGGAGUGCAAUGGCGCGAUCUCAGCUCACCACAACCUCCGCCUCCUGGGUUCAGGCAAUUCUCCUGUCUCAGUCUCCUGAGUAGCUGGGAUUACAGGCACAUGCCACCAUGCCCAGCUAAUUUUUUUUUUUUGAGAUGGAGUUUCGCUGUUGUUACCCAGACUGGAGUGCAAUGGCACGAUCUUGGCUCGCUGCAACCUCCGCCUUCUGGGUUCAAGCAAUUCUCCUGGCUCAGCCUCCCGAGUAGCUGGGUCUACAGGCGCGCACCACCAUGCCCAGCUAAUUUUUGUAUUUUUAGUAGAGACGGGGUUUCACCUUGUUGACCAGGAUGGUCUCGAUCUCUUGACCUUGUGAUCCACCCGCCUCAGCCUCCCAAAGUGCUGGGAUUAUAGGCGUGAGCCACCGCACCCGGCCUAAUUUUUUGUAUUUUUAGUAGAGAUGGGGUUUCACUAUGUUGACCAGGCUGGUCUCGAUCUCCUGACCUCGUGAUCCACCCGCUUCGGCCUCCCAAGGUGCUGGGAUUACAGGCUUGAGCCACCGGGUGCUCUUUUUCUUUUCUUUUCUUUUCUUUUCUUUUUUUUUUUUUUUUUACUGUCGGGCGGUUGGUUAGCUCACCAACUGAGCUAACCGGCUGCCCGACAGAUCUAGCUGCUCUUAAGGUGCAGAAGAGUGUAUAUAAAGGGUCACCAUUUUUGAAGAAAUAGUGGGAAGAGGGUGUGCUUGUUUAUGUGUAAAAUGUCACUAGAUUUCAACACAAUAAACUGGCAAAGAUG